UUCAAACGUGUAUAAGUAGUCAAUAACUCAAAACUCUAAACACUUGUUAAGAAUCCGAUAAACCCCGAAAAAUUCUGAUCUAGUUUCUGUACUUGAGUCUUGGAGGUAUAAACCAAUGAGACAGAUGAUAUUAAUGACCUUCUUAAACCUUUUGACACUAUACGACUAGGGAGAAGUAUUUGAAUGCAUUCUUUUAUGUUCUAUGGUUGAUAAAAGUUGUAUUUGCUUACCAGAAAAAUAAUGGAAGUGAAAGUUGACCGGAGCUGGGCGUGGGUGGUUUUGGCUGCUACGUUUGGCAUUCACUUCAUUAGUGGCAGCCUUCAAUAUUCGUCCGGAAUAAUCCGAUUAAAUUUGUUACUGGACACUAUUUCUGAAGAGAAAGUAUUUGUAACGUGGAUUAUUUCCAUAUACAACAGUUUAUUCGCUUUAGCGGGCGUACUUUCAAGUCUACUGAUCGGUAAAUUCGGAUGCCGGAAAACUUUGUUCGUCGGUGCCAGUCUACAAGCGCUCGGUUUCAUUGGGUCAUAUAUUAUAACCGACAACAAGCUAUUACUAUUAACUCUCAGUCUUAUUACAGGUACUGGAUGCGGUGUCUGUUAUACAGCUGCCAUGGUUGUUAUUAGUUACCAUUUUGAUCGCUAUUUAGGACUAGCAUCUGGGAUUGCUAUCAGCGCACAAGGAUUUGGGACAGUGAUGAUAAACAUUAUUGAAACUACUGUGAAUUUCUACGGGUUGCGUAACUUUUACUUAUUACUAGCUGGGUAUGUCCUUCAAAAUUUUGUUUUUGGGGCUCUUUUACGGACGUCUGUGCACGAACAAAACCAGAGUAAAAAAGUUAAAAAUGUCUCAAUACUGACUGGCAAAAACAACAUUGUUUACAAAUCGGAUGAAUCUGUCAACGAAAGUAAAUCAAAAUCUGAGAAUUUAACCAUCCCCUCCAGUGAAUCCCCACAUAAUCCAAACGGACAGUAUCGUCAUGAGAUCCAAUAUAACUGCGAAGAAAUCAACACUAGAACUAAAGAUUUUGACCAAGAAAGCUUGGAUAAAAACAGCACUGAUAAAACUAAUGGUAAAUUAGACCAACCCUCAGAAUAUCCAAACAAAGAAAAAUCUACUGAUGAAAUUGAAAUGAAAGACAAUUUCGACUCGCAGCACUUGCAAUCUUUAGAAGCCCUAGACAUAGAUGUAAAUGGGCAACCAAGCAACACAUUCACUAAAAAAAAUCAUUUACAGAAAUCAAGUAUAGUUAGCGACUGCAACGAAAAAGAAACCUGUUUCGGAAAAUAUGUGGCAGUUCUGAAGAAUUACAGGUUUAUCAUAUUAGCUCUAUUCGUCUUUCUUUUUUCAUGCGCCGAAAGUACCUUUCAUAUUAUGCUUCCAUCUUACUUCAUGGAAAACGGAUCGACAAAAGCACAAGUCGCGCAAGUAUUCUCUUUCGUUGGAAUCGUUUCUGCAUUCAGCCGGUUUCUAACCGGAUUAAUUCUGAACAAAAACAUUUUAUCACUCACUAUUCUAUUCUCGGUGCCAUCAUUUCUGCUUGCAAUCUGUAGUUUCUUCGUGCCUUAUUUCAUCCAGAUAUAUUGGGGCCAGCUUAUAUACUGUCUUUUGUUUGCUACGUUCAAUUUCACUGUUUAUGCACUUGUUAAUAGAAUAUGUAUCGUGAUUGUCGGUGUAAAAGGAACUGCUGAAGCUAUUGGCAUGCUCAUGUUAGCAUGGGGUUUGGGUUCCUUAACUGGAUCACCUGUCACAGUAUCCUGUCUCCUAUCAAAGCAUACUCAAUAAAUAAUACACAUUAUCAGAACAUACAAUAUUGUUACGGACCACCUGCCGUCGCCCGGUCGAACGGGAAAGUUCGCCACGGAACUCAGAGAGGAGAGAGAUAACGACAACAACAACAGCAGGAAGAGACACAGAGAUACAGCGGAAGGCAAUUGGCUACGUUUAACAACUAGUUUAUAUGACUAUUACAACAUCAAAUACAUUUAAAGAUACAUCAGAAAGAAUAAUCUUAUCGACUGGGUCCAGUGAUACCAUUACUACAAUUAUAGGUACAUUCUACAUGGCGGCCUCAUUUGUGGUUUUUCCGGCGACAUAUAGACGCUGAAUAGUUAUUACUUCCAAAGAAAAACCAUAUUGGAUAUAACAAUUGUUGUACUCAAAAUAAAUUGCAAAAUGGAUUAUUUUGUAGUAAUACUUCAUCACAUGAAACUA